rnacentral:piRNA from 1 species
UGUCAUAGAGCACCCAAAAAGGUGAUAAUCACU